GUAUAAGUGCCAGAUUGAAUGGGUUGGUUUUAAGCGCCAUUUAUGAAGAGUUUUCUUUCUUAUACU
rnacentral:tRNA from 1 species